GUGGGGAAUCUUGGACAAUGGGGGAAACCCUGAUCCAGCCAUGCCGCGUGAAUGAUGAAGGCCUUAGGGUUGUAAAAUUCUUUCAGCGGGGAAGAUAAUGACGGUACCCGCAGAAGAAGCCCCGGCUAACUCCGUGCCAGCAGCCGCGGUAAUACGGAGGGGGCUAGCGUUGUUCGGAAUUACUGGGCGUAAAGCGCACGUAGGCGGCUCGGAAAGUCAGAGGUGAAAGCCCGGGGCUCAACCCCGGAAUAGCCUUUGAAACUAUCGAGCUAGAGUCCAGGAGAGGUGAGCGGAAUUCCGAGUGUAGAGGUGAAAUUCGUAGAUAUUCGGAGGAACACCAGAGGCGAAGGCGGCUCACUGGACUGGUACUGACGCUGAGGUGCGAAAGCGUGGGGAGCAAACAGGAUUAGAUACCCUAGUAGUCC
rnacentral:rRNA from 1 species